rnacentral:rRNA from 1 species
GUACACUCCUGCGGGAGGCAGCAGUGGGGAAUAUUGGACAAUGGGCGCAAGCCUGAUCCAGCCAUGCCGCGUGAGUGAUGAAGGCCCUAGGGUUGUAAAGCUCUUUCACCGGUGAAGAUAAUGACGGUAACCGGAGAAGAAGCCCCGGCUAACUUCGUGCCAGCAGCCGCGGUAAUACGAAGGGGGCUAGCGUUGUUCGGAUUUACUGGGCGUAAAGCGCACGUAGGCGGACUAUUAAGUCAGGGGUGAAAUCCCGGGGCUCAACCCCGGAACUGCCUUUGAUACUGGUAGUCUUGAGUUCGAGAGAGGUGAGUGGAAUUCCGAGUGUAGAGGUGAAAUUCGUAGAUAUUCGGAGGAACACCAGUGGCGAAGGCGGCUCACUGGCUCGAUACUGACGCUGAGGUGCGAAAGCGUGGGGAGCAAACAGGAUUAGAAACCCCUGUAGUCCC